UGCAGAAUUCAGUGAAUCAUCGAAUCUUUGAACGCACAUUGCGCCCUCUGGUAUUCCGGGGGGCAUGCCUGUUCGAGCGUCAUUA
rnacentral:rRNA from 1 species